GAAUCCCGUUCGCUUGCGCCCUAGACGCCGGUAAGCCGGUUCAAAUUAACGGAACUGAGAGAACAAAGAAACGAACAAAGAAAGGCCGGUGGUGAACGGUGGAAAAUUUUUAUUUUCGUGUUUUUUUUGGUAAAGUGCUGGUGAAGUAGACCGUAUUUAGAGAUCACAUGAAGAACGAAUCUUAGCGAGAACGUUGAAGGAAAGACGAGUCGUUGUCCACGCGAACAACAGGAAUGUCGGAAAAAUUGGAUCCGGCACGUUCACCAUGGGCUUUGCCUCAAAUCAACAAAUCAAAUGAACACAGGAGAAAGCUGUUAACAAUGGGUUUUGUCGAGAAUGUGGAGGGUUAUGUACUCGAGUGUAAACAAAGUGAAGCUCGUUAGAAUGAGUCCAGAUGAUGAUCCAUGGAUCGACGCCAGGGUUAUAUUGAAACUGGGAAAAUAAGGAAGAGCAACGUUUCAAAAGGAUAUCAACUUUUAAGUGAAGGAUUUUUUUUGUUGAAAUUGAGGACAAACUGGCAGACAAAUCAAGGUACGAUCAUCUGGAGGUGGAACUGCUUUCGUGUGUUGGUUGGUCUCCUAAUCAAAUGUUGAUUGCUUCCAAAAUCUGAAUACGUUAAAAGUGUCUCAGUUGAGUGUGUAGAGAAUGUCAAGUAGUUCAGAUACGUCGAUGAAUACAGGCUAACUGAAGAGAGUGACAUUCUUAUUGUGAAUAUGUGAAGUGGAAAAGUGCAUAAGUACGUCCCCUGAUGUCAACAGAUCACUGCUCGUGACCCCAUUACUUCAGAAUAUUUACACAUCAAAUAGUGUCGCUGAGGCUGCUGCGUAACAGAUGUUCCUUACCCAUCAUUGUUGUUUAAUUUCAGGAUUCAAGGUCAAAAGGAAGAAAAAUGAUGACAAGAGUUUUGGAGGAAACGAAAAAACAUGAGCUCCGAAUCAUUGGUCUUCUCGUUGUGGUCAGGGAUAAAAGAAAUGUGAUUGUACAUGAACAAUGAACAUUGUUCCACAAGAGAUAGAAGUAGACGCGUAGAUUACGGACUUCAUCUGCUACCGUGAUUCCCGAAAUACCAGGGGUUCGCGGCAAUUUCUAUGGAAAAUGACGGAUAUCAGACAGCUCCUGAGGUGGGAUCAUUUAUAAAUUUCCAGGAGUGAGAGAAACUAAACGAGAAAAUGGGAAAAAAAGGAUGAACAGCACUUUACACGAAAAGAAAAACUUAUCAAAUUGAGGAGAAAAAAACGUGUACUAAAGUUGGAGAUCCCUGGGGUAGUGUAGAGAACACAUGUGCCAUUUGUCCUUUAUCAUAGCAACAUUGUGUGGCUCAUAGUUGGUGUACGUAAAGUGUCACUGUGGCAAUUCCCCUAACAAGGGAUUUUCAUGAUCGAAAUCCACCGGAGAAAGACCCGAGACCCAGACAUAUGACUGCAAUUCGCUUUCUGGUUAGAGUCACACGGUUGUAGCUGAGAUAAAAAUAAAUGAAUGGCUGCCAUGUAAAUGUGGAGAGAAAAUUUCAAAUCGAGUGAAGGAAUUUUGUAAAGUGAAUCGACUGUCACAUCAGGGCCAGAUUGGUUAGAAAUGAGGCAAUCGGGGAUCAGGGAAAGUCGAUUGGGCCUGUGCUGAGGCCCUGUGGAACCCGCUGGGGAAGGCAUAGGGUGUGAUUUGCACAUCAGGUCCUCAUCCGGUUUGAAUAUGGCAUACGGUAUCAGGUCAGUCACUGUCAAGGAUGUCAAGGUGAUAAUGAUAAUUAUUAUUAUACAAUCAUUAUUAUUUGAUAUUGCUUCAGUAAUGACAAGAAUUAUUAUCAUUACAUUUCUGAAUAUGAUAGUGAUUAUUGAAUUUUUAUUGGUAAUAAUAAUUGUUCAAAUAAUUGAUUAUGAAUUAUUAUUAUUAAUUAAAUAGCAAUGAGUGAGCCUCGAUGAAGCAAAAGGAGCAAUUAUAUAUAUUUUUCAAACUCUGAGGAGGAGUAUCCAUCGCCUUGUAUUGACCAUACGACUCAGUACUCAACAAUUGGAAGGUAACAGACCAGGACAUACGGUACAGUAGCGAUCGUUGAAGUUAAGGAACAUCAAACCGGGAUAACAACUGGAUGGCAGGUGACCAAGUGCUAAGGCGAAUUCAUAUCUGCCGGAAAGGAACCUUAAAAGGUUGCCUUAUCAGGUCCAGACCACAUCAACCUGAUGAGGUAUAUGCUUGACAGUAUGUUACCCUCCAGAUAAGGUCCUGAUGUGCCAAGCCCUAGUUGGGAUAUGUCUAUCAAAGCCGAGAAUUGGAUGAUGUUUGGGUGAAAUAAAUAAUGUUGAGUGCAAACAAUUCAUUAAAUAAUGGUACGAAUUUUAAAUUUGUAUUUUAUCGUUCAAAAUUUACAACCGAAAACUGCGAUAGUCAGCAGUAGCUGGAUCACCCCGAAUCGAAGGGCCGAGAAUUAUUAAUAUAUGAGAGGGAUUCGUAAGACAUGUCACCAGAAAAUAUUGAUUCGAAUUACACUUCCCCGGAAGUUUUUCCAGCCUUAAAUUUUCAUUGCCGACGACAGAUGAAUUAUAAAAGAUAUCGAUCAUGCUCUGGCUGUCCCUCCAUCCUAUAAUUUUCUCCUCAGUCUGAUAUUCGAUGGGAGACACUUCUACACCAUUCCAAAUAUCAAAUACGAAUUACACUGAGUUUCAUAUUUUUAUCCAAAUCCCAAACAGCGAAUUCUCUUUGUUCUGAAGAAUUUAUAAAUUACAGAAAUUAGCAAAGUGCCAUUCUAGGUGUUAAUUACAAUUUUAUUAUUGAAGAUCUGAAACCGAGAGUAUAAUAACAGUUGGACCUUUCUAAAUCGAGCAAUUAUUACUAUAAAGGUGUCUAUGCAUACCACAAAUGCUCACAAAAUAUUAAUGCUGAAUUAAGCUUCUCGGAAAAUUUUCGAAAAUUGUUAAUUCCAACACAUGAAUUAUAAAAUAUUCACCGUUCAUGCAUGAAAUAUCCUCUGGCAAGCCUCGACAUCAUGAUGUCUUCUCCAGCCUGACGUUCGGUUGGAGGCACUAGUCCAGGGAUAAAAUAUGCAUUGAAUUGCUCGAUAUUUUUAUGCUCCAUAUUAUUUUGCUUCAAAAUAGUUGAGACAACAAAUUAUUUAUUUAUAUUAAACUCCACGUUGUCUGCACGUAUCCGACCAUACCAUGUCGCAUCAUGUCGAUGUUUCUGAACGUAAUAAAUAUCAUUAUCAUCAUCAGAAUGAAUUUUUUCUCUCGCUAUAAAAACUAUCAAAGAUAUCGAUUGUUUAUGCAUCUAAUAUAUUUAUUUCAUAUAAUUUUCCCCUCUCUCUCUUCAUUCAUUUCGAAUGAUUUUCAAUUCCAUAAGCCAGUACUGACGGUAUUUUGUGAUCAAAUGCUACUCGUAUACACAUUGAAAAUCACAUCGUUGCGCAUCUGUUGUGAAUAACUGAAGGGAUGACUUUUUAUCUCACUUUGAAAUCGUUGCUCGUGCAAAGGAAAAUUGAAAAACGGAGCACUCCUACUGGGAGUUAUCGUAAAAAGAGAAUGAUUGAGAUGGGGAUGGGGGAAAUGGAACGAGUAGCAUGGAUACAGGAGAAAAGGGAAACACGGACUCUUGGAAAAAAGAGUACACUUGAAAAUAAUUAAAGAGUCCCUGUUAUUCAUUAACGUUCUCGACGAAAAAGGUGGAUUUCAAUUUGUGGGAAUGAAGUGCAUCCGUCAAAGGGAUUGUCGGGGUAUAUUCAUUGGUGAAUGUUGCUUUGACAGGCGUGAUGAAAAUACUUUUCAAUUGUCAGAAUUUUUUUUUUUAUGACACACUUACCAUCGAGACGAUUUCGGAAGGGCAGGAUUGUUAUUGCACCUUCAGCAGCAAACUCUUGGUCUCUCACGGGAUGGACUUUAGCACCCCACGAAUCACUGCCAACCCACAUAAAGUGGCCAGUUACGUUGGCCCUGAUCGUAGCUUGCAACAGCUUUCUGGAGAGGGAGUGGAACACAAUUUUGAGAAAAAGACAAUGAAACUUUAUAUUCUACUGGAAAUUCAGUGGAGUUCAAAAUUUUUAUAGGAAUAUUCGGACGAGAGUCUCAAAACUUUAUUGGAAUUUCCAAGAGUUUCCAAUAAAAUGAAAAGCGAGUUCGAAAGUCAUAUUCAAAAUCGAGGUCCAUCGCAGCGUAUCCUAAAUCGAUCGAAGUCAUGUAAACAACAAUAAUAAAAAAAUAAACCAGUAAAUUUAUGAAUAUAUAUGUCGA